rnacentral:rRNA from 1 species
AUUGAACGCUGGCGGCAGGCCUAACACAUGCAAGUCGAGCGGAGCGGCGGCCGGGAGAGUAAUGCCUAGGCAUCUGCCUGGUAGUGGUGGCUAACGUCCGGAAACGGGCGCUAAUACCGCCUACUACCAACUGAGCCUAGGUCGGAUUAGCUAGUUGGUGGGGUAACGGCCUACCAAGGCCACGAUCCGUAACUGGUCUGAGGGGAUGGUCAGCCAAACUGGAACUGAGAAACGGUCCAGACUCCUACGGUAGGCAGCAGUGGGGAAUAGUGGACAAUGGGCGAAAGCCUGAUCCAGCCAUGCCGCGUGUGUGAAGAAGGUCUUCGGAUUGUAAAGCACUUUAAGUUGGGAGGCGUUACCAACAGAAUAAGCACCGGCUAACUUCGUGCCAGCAGCCGCGGUAAUUC